rnacentral:lncRNA from 1 species
UCCCGUGAAGCCUCCAGUUCAUCCACCAGUGUACCCUCCCGUGAAGCCUCCAGUUCACCCACCGGUUAAGCCUCCAGUGCACCCUCCCGUGAAGCCUCCGGUUCAUCCACCAGUGUACCCUCCCGUGAAGCCUCCAGUUCAUCCACCGGUGAAGCCUCCAGUACACCCACCGGUUAAGCCUCCAGUACACCCUCCCGUGAAGCCUCCGGUUCAUCCACCAGUAUACCCACCCGUGAAGCCUCCAGUUCAUCCACCGGUUAAGCCUCCAGUGCACCCUCCCGUGAAGCCUCCAGUACACCCACCGGUUAAGCCUCCAGUGCACCCUCCCGUGAAGCCUCCGGUUCAUCCACCAGUAUACCCUCCCGUGAAGCCCCCAGUUCAUCCACCGGUUAAGCCUCCAGUGCACCCUCCCGUGAAGCCUCCGGUUCAUCCACCAGUAUACCCUCCCGUGAAGCCUCCAGUUCAUCCACCGGUUAAGCCUCCAGUGCACCCUCCCGUGAAGCCUCCGGUUCAUCCACCAGUAUACCCUCCCGUGAAGCCUCCAGUUCAUCCACCGGUUAAGC